GGAGAUUGCUUUUACUAAAGGUCCUUUGACUACAGAAGAAAAGAACAGAAGAAAGGCCAAUAAUUUGUGCUUAUACUGUGCUUCCAAGGCACAUACAGUAAAGGACUGUCCUAUUCUCCAGAAACAAAAGGUGGGAGGGACAAAGAAUCCAGACACAGGCCAUUAUUGACUCCGGAACCACGGGCAAUUUCAUUGAUAAAACUUUUCUUGAUAAAUAUCACAUUCCAUUAAUAAAACGUAUUGAUUCACUAGC